rnacentral:rRNA from 1 species
AUUGAACGCUGGCGGCAGGCCUAACACAUGCAAGUCGAACGGUAGCAGGAAGAAGCUUGCUUCUUUGCUGACGAGUGGCGGACGGGUGAGUAAUGUCUGGGAAACUGCCUGAUGGAGGGGGAUAACUACUGGAAACGGUAGCUAAUACCGCAUAACGUCGCAAGACCAAAGAAGGGGAUCUUCGGGCCUCUUGCCAUCAUAUGUGCCCAGGUGGGAGUAGGUAGUAGGUGGGGUAAAGGCUCAACUAGGCGACGAUCCCUAGCUGGUUUGAGAGGAUGACCAGCCACACUGGAACUGAGACACGGUCCAGACUCCUACGGGAGGCAGCAGUGGGGAAUAUUGCACAAUGGGCGCAAGCCUGAUGCAGCCAUGCCGCGUGUGUGAAGAAGGCCUUCGGGUUGUAAAGCACUUUCAGCGGGGAGGAAGGGGGAAUGGUUAAUAACCAUUGUCAUUGACGUUACCCGCAGAAGAAGCACCGGCUAACUCCGUGCCAGCCGCCGCUGUAA